UACAGAGGUGGCAAGCGUUGUUCGGAAUUACUGGGCGUAAAGGGCGAGUAGGUGGCCAUCUAAGUCAGACGUGAAAUCCCCCGGCUUAACCUGGGAACUGCGUCUGAUACUGGACGGCUUGAGUAUGGGAGAGGGAUGUAGAAUUCCAGGUGUAGCGGUGAAAUUCGUAGAUAUGGGGAGGAACACCGGUGGCGAAGGCGGCCAUCUGGACGGCUACUGACGCUGAGACGCGAAAGCGUGGGGAGCAAACAGG
rnacentral:rRNA from 1 species